rnacentral:lncRNA from 1 species
ACUUUCGGAAUUUUUCUUUUUUUUCCCUUCUCUUUUAAGAUGCACAUGGGGCGCGAUAAGAUAUGUACACAUCUAAUUAAUUACUACUAGGCCCACACGAUCGAGCGUUUGUUUUUUUGAGAAAUGCUAUACUUAAGGAGCUAGCCCAUUUUGGGUUGUAAUUAAUCUAUAUAAAUUCCUACUAGAUUAUAACAAUAAUCCUUCUCGGGUUUAGCCAAUUAUUGUUAGAUUUUCAGUAUUAAAGAAAAAACUGAU